rnacentral:rRNA from 1 species
CCCUUAGAUGUUCUGGGCCGCACGCGCGCUACACUGAUGCAUUCAACGAGUCUAAAACCUGCUCUGAUAGGGGUGGGUAAUCUUUUGAAUGUGCAUCGUGAUUGGGAUAGAUGAUUGCAAUUUUUCAUCUUCAACGAGGAAUGCCUAGUAAACGCAAGUCAUCAGCUUGCAUUGAUUACGUCCCUGCCCUUUGUACACACCGCCCGUCGCUCCUACCGAUUGAAUGAUCCGAUGAAUAUCAUGGAUUGAGGAUGCAAGUAGGUUCGCCUAUCUUCAUCUUCGAGAAGUGAAGUAAAUCUGAUCAUUUAGAGGAAGGAGAAGUCGUAACA